rnacentral:tRNA from 1 species
GGACUUGUAGCUCAAUGGCCAGAGCAGCCAAUUGUACUCCGUGUGCAGUUGAGUGUCUUGUGGGUUCGAAUCCCACCAAGUCCU